rnacentral:misc_RNA from 1 species
GAUGAAGAACGUAGCGAAAUGCGAUAAGUAAUGUGAAUUGCAGAUUUCCAGUGAAUCAUCGAAUCUUUGAACGCACAUUGCGCCCCCUGGUAUUCCGGGGGGCAUGCCUGUCCGAGCGUCAUUACAACCCUCAAGCUCAGCUUGGUGUUGGGCCCCGCCGCCCCGGCGGGCCCUAAAGUCAGUGGCGGUGCCGUCCGGCUCCGAGCGUAGUAAUUCUUCUCGCUCUGGAGGUCCGGUCGUGUGCUCGCCAGCAACCCCCAAUUUUUUUCAGGUUGACCUCGGAUCAGGUAGGGAUACCCGCUGAACUUAAGCAUAUCAAUAAGCGGAGGA